CAUGCUUUAAUUUGAUUCUUGAAGCGACUCUAAUGCCAUAACCACCUCAUCCAUGUCUGGUCUCAACCUCGGAUCGUCAUUUAAGCAAUGAAGUGCAAGGUUAGCCAACUUUCGAGCCCUUUUAAGAAAGUGUUGGCCGCCAAGACGUGUGUCUAAAACUCGGAGAACUCUGCGUCUGUUUGUCAGGUAAGGCUUUGCCCACUCCACCAGGUUGUGUUGCUCAGGUGGCGCAGUCCUCUCUAUAGCUCGUCUGCCGGAUAAAAUUUCUAGAAGUACAACUCCAAAGCUGAAUACAUCGCACUUUGCAUUUAAACGGCCUGUUCAGUAUCAAAAUUUAAUAAGUGACCAGAAUCCGUAUACAAUACAACAAUAUUGUUGUAUUAUACUGCAUAAACCAUAGGCAAAGUACAGCCACAACCCAAUAAGUUGGUCUAACAACCACAUAAUUAGUAUUAGUAUGGAGAGAAUAUUGUGAAGGGUUAAUUACAUUUGCAGUGCUUAAACUUUUUAAUGUUUUUAUUUUGAUGUCUGAAUGAAAAAAAAUUUCUAAUUGAAUGUCUAAAUUAUUCAAAAGUAGCAAUCAAGUGCAUUUGGUCCAAAUUAGUUUAUCGGAAAAUUAAAAUAAACCAUCUUAUUACUUAAUAAAUGAUAUCAAUAAAAAACAUCCAAUCCAUCUCUUCCUCCCCCCCCCCCCCCCCCCCUCCUUUUUCACUGUUUUAUAUCUCUUUUAAAACAAGUCCAAAAAAUUUAUUUCAGUUUUCUUUCAAUUUCAAAAUAAUAUAAGAGAGAGAGAGUAACAAGAAAAAGGAAUACGAUAAUCUAAAAAAAAUAAACAAAGCAAAAUGAUGGGGUAAUAGUUCAUUUUGAUUUUCCAGUAAGAUUCCAACUAAACGCACUUAAUUGUGCAAAAAUUAUUAAAUCAUAUACUAUCUCCAUUCUAUAGUAUUUGUCACAUUUUUAAAAAAUAAUUUGUUUCAAAAUAUUUGUCACAUUUGUGAUUUCAAGGUGUUAUAAAUACUUUUUUCCAUGUGUACCCUUUGUAUAUGACCAAUAAUUAUUACUUCAAUUUAAAAUUUUUUUAGAGAAUUAGUAUUAAAUUAAGAAUAAUUCAGUCAAUUUACGUAAUAAUUUAUUAUAAUUUCGACAAAUUUAAUAAUUUUCUCAAGGGAUGUAAAACUCAAAAUGUAACAAGUAUUAUGGAAUAAAGAUAGUACUUAAUUCAAAAUUUUUUCCUAUUUAGCCAUCAAAAUAAAAAAAUUUAAUAACUACAUAUAUUAUUAACCCUAUUUUGAACUAUGCUAUGAGACUUUGAGGUUUGAGUGACACAAAUAUAUUAUUAAAAAUAAAGUUUCUCUGAUCAGGUUAGAUUUGAUUGUUCUCCAGUUAUCCUCACAAACUAACGGUGAAGGAAUGGUGGCAAUUUUGCUAAUACGGUGAGAGUUUUGAUACAAGGCCGACUAUCCUCUACACUAUAACCUGCAAAUUUUAGACAAAUUUUGACCCUUCAUUAACCUUCAUUAAACAAAAAAAAAAAAAAAAAAAAGGAUUCACUUGCAAAUGUUUCAAUGGUAAUGCCUCAAAAGAAUCAAUGAUAUGCAGUUUUUACUCGCAAUAUCAUCUCUCCAUCAAUGGUAGCUUUCAUUCAUGCUCGUUCUCUCUAACACCCCUUUACCUUGCACAGUCUGAAAUGAUAUUUCGUAGGAUUAGGGAUAUGUUUAACACUUCUAAUGCUCAAAUGAGUGAAGAAUAAAUUGCUCAAACAUAACCUUUGGAGUGCAUAGAGAAAAUGGUAAAAAUAAGAAAAUAGAAGCAUACUAAUCAAGCUAAUAUCAAUCAGAGUUACGAGAAGCCACAUAUGAAAAUGAUACCUGUGGCUAAACAAAAAAAAAAAAAAAAAAAGGAUUCACUUGCAAAUGUUUCAAUGGUGAUGCCUCAAAAGAAUCAAUGAUAUGCAGUUUUUACUCGCAAUAUCAUCUCUCCAUCAAUGGUAGCUUUCAUUCAUGCUCGUUCUCUCUAACACCCCUUUACCUUGCACAGUCUGAAAUGAUAUUUCGUAGGAUUAGGGAUAUGUUUAACACUUCUAAUGCUCAAAUGAGUGAAGAAUAAACUGCUCAAACAUAACCUUUGGAGUGCAUAGAGAAAAUGGUAAAAAUAAGAAAAUAGAAGCAUACUAAUCAAGCUAAUAUCAAUCAGAGUUACGAGAAGCCACAUAUGAAAAUGAUACCUGUGGCCAGAUACUCUGGUGCAGCAAAUCCUUGAGUUCCCAUGACCCUAGUACUGACGUAACUCUUAUCAUCAGUUGGCCCAUCCCUAGCUAAAGCAAAACCAGAAAGCUUUGCGUUGUAGUUCUACAAAUAUGGAGCAAAUGUAGCAGGGCAGGUCAACAAAUGCAGAUACACUCAACUAAUUGUUUGUCCUAAAUUCAAAUAUAUUGUGAAAAAAGUGGUCAGGUAAUGUAGGUAAAUUACAUACUGAAUCAAGCAGUAUAUGAGAAGUCUUAAAGUCCCGAUGAAUGACAUUCACAUCAGCACUAUGAAGAAUUGCAAGCCCCUUUGCAGCACCAAGAGCAAUUUUCAUGCGAAUGUCCCAAGAAAGUAGCUCAGACCCCCCUAUAUCAAGAUUCGCUUAACGUUUGCGCAUGUUUAUUCAUAAAUUAAAAGCAGUAGUCAAGUUAAUACAAAUAAGAUAACAUGGAACUCACUCCUGAAUAAAUGCUUUUCCAUGCUGCCACAAGACAUAAACUCACAAACCAAAAGCCGAUGGUCAUCCUCAAAGCAGUAACCAAUCAACUUAACCAGAUUAGGAUGCUGCAAUUUUCCAAGAUAGUUGAUCUCUGCCUUCAUGUCCAAAGAACACUACAAUCAACUAUUUUUAGCUCAUCUCAAUCUUUUAAAAUUUAAACACACUGGGCAUGAAAAGGAGUCUAAAAUAUAAUCAUUUUACUGAUACUAAAUAUUAUGAACUUUUUAGAUAUCCUAAAUUCCUAAUGGGCAAUGGCUAUUUCUAUGGAUUGAGCACUCCUAUCGGUGUAAAGAUAGCAAGGCACUUAAGGUACAUGAGAAGAACUGGAUUCACAUUUCAUAUACAUCUUGUAUUGCCAAGUUCUCCCUAAUUGAGAGAGAAGUAUGAACUCCCUAUAAUUAAGGACCUCAACCGAAUAAAUAGGCCCCUGAAUUGAAAAGAAAAAUUUAUCAUGAAUAGCUGGAAAAAACAAUUAAGAAAUUGAAACCAUAAAACUGACCAACCAUUCCGCCUGACCAAGGAAGCCUUCAUGGUUAAGCCUCUUCACAGCAAUCACCAUGCCAUCAAUCCGCCCUUUGAAAACUGGCCCAAAACCAUCUUCACCCAGUACACCAUCUGAUCGGAAGUUUCUAGUGGCAAUCUUCAGUUCACUGAAGCUAAAGUUCUUUAAAUUUGGUGACUGCAAUAUCUCAAACUCAAAACCAAGAUUCUUCCCAUCUCUUCUGACAUUUCUUGAAUUCAAUUCUACAAGACAAUAAAUUAAUGAAAUAAAAAUUGUCUAAAAGGAAACUCUAAAAAUAUUAUCCUUCUCAUUGCCUAGUUACUAACUCUCAUACUAGAAUAAUCAAUUUUUGUCAAAUAGGUCCUGAAGAGAAGAAUAUCAAUAUGAUACAUAAUCUCAAAGAAUAUCUUCAUAAUUUAAAUUACAUAAACACACUUUUCCUCAGACACCAAUACUCUAAAUCAUCACAAAAAAUUGACAAAAUUUUCACAAAUUCUGAUUGAAUCCAAGGGAAAUUAUCAAAUAAUCAACUAUAGAAAUACAUACCUUAGAAAUUUAUCUUGAAAUUUACAAAAAGUAACAACACAUCUAAAAAUUUAAAUUUCUUGUCAAGAACAUUAAGUGUAUUCGUGAAAGCCAUAGCAACAGCAAACAUAUAGAGUGAAUAAUACCGAGGGAAAGACAAAAAGAACAGCUCAAGCAUCUUUAGGAUAAAAGUUAAGAAGAAGGCGACUGAUUUCACUCUCAAUCAAGGAAAACCAGUAACAGCUAAUUGUGAAAACACAUAAAAACUUAAACGCUACAACAUAAAAGAAUAAAUGGGUACCUGUGCUACGAGUAUAACACUUGAUUCCGUUGCUAACACAAAGUCCCAUUCAAUCAGACACCUCAUCUGCUCUCCAUAAAAAUUCUAAAACCCAAAAAUUUAAAAAAAAAAAAACAAAGAAAAAGAGCAGUCUUGUUCCAAGAAAUCCCUUUUUCUUUCUUAAGAUUUGGCAGCAAAUAUUAUGACAAGAAAAAGAAAGGUUUAAAAAACUAUUUUGAGCAACUCACUGGAAGGCGGACUUGCGGUUUCAUGAUGAUUAGUUGCCCAAUAACACCACGAAAGAUUCGGUUGGCAAUACUCAGUUCAGGGUUCUUGCUAUCAAACCUUCAAGAAAAAUGAAGUAAAGUUUACUUGGUUUUACUGGCUAUAUUUGUAUUUAAAUAUGGAUAUAAUUAUAUUUUUGGUGUAUAAACGAAAAACGCUGCCAAUCGAGGCGUGCACAGUUUAAAAUCUACAAUUAAAAUUGAAUAUACAAUAGUACGGCUCACUUUUUGCCACACGUGCCAGAUGAUGAGGACAAAAAAAUUUUUAAAAUAUUCAAAUGAGCCAAAUGUGAUGUGAACUUUAUGGGAAUCGUCUUUUAACUUUCAUUUAUUAUUUGGAAACAUUAUUUUUAAGUCCUUGGUUUUACAAACUAUAUGACUUCCCUGCUAUUGAACCACGGAUGGAGUAUCGACGAGCCAUGGUUCGAUUCUUGGGGAACCAACCACUUCCUUUGGGAGGCCCAGAAAUUCAUGAAAUUAUAGAGACGAAGAAGCAGAGGCAGGUGAAAGGCGAAUUUUGUUUGCGUGCAGCGAUGGAAGCUAUUGGUGCUGCUGGCGGUGGUGAUUUGGGAGAGGAUGCUAAUUUUUUUUUUUUCAUUUUAAAUAAUAUUUAUUCCUUUUAUUUAUAUUUAAAAUAAUUUUUGUUUGGGUUUUAGCAUGAGUUUUAGAUUUAUUUUUGUUUCUAUGUUAAUAUUUUUACUGUGGUUGACUUUUGUUGGGUGCCAUUUACAUAUUUUAAAAUUGUUUAUGUAGCUUAUACGAACAUAAUUGAUUAUUUACAAUCUAUUGAUUCCCGCUGCUUAUGCAAAAUGCACAUUUACUUGGACUAAAUGGUUUUAUAAUUCUAUUGUGUAAGCUAUUGUUAAAAAUUUUAAAUCUUCAUAUGCUGUAUAUAUGAUUUAGAGAUUUGUUUCUUUUGCCUAAUCAUAUUCUUUAAAGGUUGUGUUUCAUUUUGUUUAGUAAUUUUGUUAUUCGGUUUCUUCUUCGUAAAAUUUAUUUUUAUUUUCUGUUCUUGUUUUGUAAUUUUGUUUUUUAUCUCUUUGGAUAUUUAUACGAGAUCUGCAGUCCUGUGUCCGUUUUAACGGUUCACAAACAUGAUUAAUCCCCAAUCGCACUCGGACGCAGAGAGGCUGUUCUAAGAGAGUUUGCGAUCGAAUCCAUGAUUUAAGCCAUGAUGAUCAAUCCUGCAAGGGUUCUUUGUCACUGAACUAUCUCAUUCGGAUUUGUUUUGUAAUUUUAUUGUUUCAUGGCAGAAAAAUUUGAUGCAUUCAACUGUUAUAAAAAUUGUAGAUAGAUUUUGAGUAUUUGAGUUUAUUCAUGAGCAGAUUGGUUCCAAUAUCCAUGAACAUUUGAUGACAGAAGCCAAAAUUGAAGUAAGAAAAGCAUAUAUCCAUGUCAUACAACCUUUGUCUAGAAACAUUUUUCACUUUCAACAAUCCUUACUAAAUUACAUACCAUUCUGCUGUACAAAAAGGCAGAAAACAAAAACAAAAACAAAAUUUUAAUUCACCGUUUCUUCUCGAAAAAUAAAAUACCUUUUUUUUUUCUUGAAAAAUAUUUGGAAAGAAGUUGUAUCUUAAUUCAAACUUCAUAUUGGUUGAUUUUUUAUCUAAGUUGCAAGAAGUUGUAGGAAAAUAAAUGAAAAAUGCGGAAAACCAAUUUUUCAAAAUUUGUUUUAUGAUGUAUUAAAUACAUACUGUUAACCUCAAAUUGUAAAUUGUAUAAACAGAAUACUGUAAGAAAAUUUUACUGCCUCAACUGAAAGGAAAAUUAUUGCCUAGAACAUCAUUAUAAUACCAAUAAUAACAAAGUGAUAAAUACUACAAGCAAAAUGCAAAGCAGAAACUGUACAUUGCUUCGAUAAACACAUGCUUUAAUUUGAUUCUUGAAGCGACUCUAAUGCCAUAACCACAUCUUCCAUGUCUGGUCUCAACUUCGGUUCAUCAUUUAAGCAAUGAAGUGCAAGGUUAGCCAACUUUCGAGCCCUUUUAAGAAAGUGUUGGCCGCCAAGACGUGUGUCUAAAACUCGGAAAACUGUGCGUUUGUUUGUCAGGUAAGGCUUUGCC
rnacentral:lncRNA from 1 species